rnacentral:rRNA from 2 species
AGACCCGAAACCCGGUGAUCUAGCCAUGGGCAGGUUGAAGGUUGGGUAACACUAACUGGAGGACCGAACCGACUAAUGUUGAAAAAUUAGCGGAUGACCUGUGGCUGGGGGUGAAAGGCCAAUCAAACCGGGAGAUAGCUGGUUCUCCCCGAAAGCUAUUUAGGUAGCGCCUCGUGAAUUCAUCUCCGGGGGUAGAGCACUGUUUCGGCUAGGGGGCCAUCCCGGCUUACCAACCCGAUGCAAACUGCGAAUACCGGAGAAUGUUAUCACGGGAGACACACGGCGGGUGCUAACGUCCGUCGUGAAGAGGGAAACAACCCAGACCGCCAGCUAAGGUCCCAAAGUCAUGGUUAAGUGGGAAACGAUGUGGGAAGGCCCAGACAGCCAGGAUGUUGGCUUAGAAGCAGCCAUCAUUUAAAGAAAGCGUAAUAGCUCACUGGUCGAGUCGGCCUGCGCGGAAGAUGUAACGGGGCUAAACCAUGCACCGAAGCUGCGGCAGCGAACGUAUCACUUAAAGCGAUUCAGCGGGUUACGAUUGACGGAGCGAAGCGACGUCAAAGCGUAUACAAAGUCGAGUCGGUUUAAGGAUACGUUCGUUGGGUAGGGGAGCGUUCUGUAAGCCUGUGAAGGUGUGUCGUGAGGCAUGCUGGAGGUAUCAGAAGUGCGAAUGCUGACAUAAGUAACGAUAAAGCGGGUGAAAAGCCCGCUCGCCGGAAGACCAAGGGUUCCUGUCCAACGUUAAUCGGGGCAGGGUGAGUCGACCCCUAAGGCGAGGCCGAAAGGCGUAGUCGAUGGGAAACGGGUUAAUAUUCCCGUACUUGGUGUUACUGCGAAGGGGGGACGGAGAAGGCUAUGUUGGCCGGGCGACGGUUGUCCCGGUUUAAGCGUGUAGGUGUGUGUUCCAGGUAAAUCCGGUUCACUUUAACACUGAGGCGUGACGACGAGGCACUACGGUGCUGAAGCAACAAAUGCCCUGCUUCCAGGAAAAGCCUCUAAGCAUCAGGUAACAUCAAAUCGUACCCCAAACCGACACAGGUGGUCAGGUAGAGAAUACCAAGGCGCUUGAGAGAACUCGGGUGAAGGAACUAGGCAAAAUGGUGCCGUAACUUCGGGAGAAGGCACGCUGACACGUAGGUGAAGUGAUUUACUCACGGAGCUGAAGUCAGUCGAAGAUACCAGCUGGCUGCAACUGUUUAUUAAAAACACAGCACUGUGCAAACACGAAAGUGGACGUAUACGGUGUGACGCCUGCCCGGUGCCGGAAGGUUAAUUGAUGGGGUCAGCGCAAGCGAAGCUCCUGAUCGAAGCCCCGGUAAACGGCGGCCGUAACUAUAACGGUCCUAAGGUAGCGAAAUUCCUUGUCGGGUAAGUUCCGACCUGCACGAAUGGCGUAAUGAUGGCCAGGCUGUCUCCACCCGAGACUCAGUGAAAUUGAACUCGCUGUGAAGAUGCAGUGUACCCGCGGCAAGACGGAAAGACCCCGUGAACCUUUACUAUAGCUUGACACUGAACAUUGAGCCUUGAUGUGUAGGAUAGGUGGGAGGCUUUGAAGUGUGGACGCCAGUCUGCAUGGAGCCGACCUUGAAAUACCACCCUUUAAUGUUUGAUGUUCUAACGUGGACCCGUAAUCCGGGUUGCGGACAGUGUCUGGUGGGUAGUUUGACUGGGGCGGUCUCCUCCUAAAGAGUAACGGAGGAGCACGAAGGUUGGCUAAUCCUGGUCGGACAUCAGGAGGUUAGUGCAAUGGCAUAAGCCAGCUUGACUGCGAGCGUGACGGCGCGAGCAGGUGCGAAAGCAGGUCAUAGUGAUCCGGUGGUUCUGAAUGGAAGGGCCAUCGCUCAACGGAUAAAAGGUACUCCGGGGAUAACAGGCUGAUACCGCCCAAGAGUUCAUAUCGACGGCGGUGUUUGGCACCUCGAUGUCGGCUCAUCACAUCCUGGGGCUGAAGUAGGUCCCAAGGGUAUGGCUGUUCGCCAUUUAAAGUGGUACGCGAGCUGGGUUUAGAACGUCGUGAGACAGUUCGGUCCCUAUCUGCCGUGGGCGCUGGAGAACUGAGGGGGGCUGCUCCUAGUACGAGAGGACCGGAGUGGACGCAUCACUGGUGUUCGGGUUGUCAUGCCAAUGGCACUGCCCGGUAGCUAAAUGCGGAAGAGAUAAGUGCUGAAAGCAUCUAAGCACGAAACUUGCCCCGA